rnacentral:rRNA from 1 species
GAUGAACGCUGACAGAAUGCUUAACACAUGCAAGUCUACUUGAAUUUGGGUUUUUAACUUAGGUUUGGGUGGCGGACGGGUGAGUAACGCGUAAAGAACUUGCCUCACAGCUAGGGACAACAUUUGGAAACGAAUGCUAAUACCUAAUAUUAUGAUAAUAGGGCAUCCUAUAAUUAUGAAAGCUAUAAGCGCUGUGAGAGAGCUUUGCGUCCCAUUAGCUAGUUGGAGAGGUAACGGCUCACCAAGGCGAUGAUGGGUAGCCGGCCUGAGAGGGUGAUCGGCCACAAGGGGACUGAGACACGGCCCUUACUCCUACGGGAGGCAGCAGUGGGGAAUAUUGGACAAUGGACCAAGAGUCUGAUCCAGCAAUUCUGUGUGCACGAUGAAGUUUUUCGGAAUGUAAAGUGCUUUCAGUUGGGAAGAAAGAAAUGACGGUACCAACAGAAGAAGUGACGGCUAAAUACGUG